GGUAGAUAAUUUAAUGUCUGUGAUUGCAUUGUAAGUAGCUCACUUACAUUCUAAUCACAUACAUUAAGUCUGACAUACUAUGACAAUUCAAUUGAUUCUUUGCUUGUACUGCCUUCAAUUAACCCCAGAAUUAUUUGCCGGCACUGCCGGCAAUUAACCCCAGAAUUAUUUGCCGGCACUGCCAGCAAUUACCGCUUGCCUUUAUUUAUUUGUCCGAAAUCAAUCAAGUGGAAAUGGUUAUUGAUGGAGCCUAUAACUAUGAUUAUAGUUGACUAUGAUUUUAUUUUCCUCAGCCUAUUGACGUUUUGCCCAAAACAGUCGUUCAAAGCAAUUGCAUAAAACAUUGGUUAAACACUUCAGAUAAUGAACCUUCCAUCAACACUGAUCUGGAUAAUAACCUCAAUAUUUCUUAUCAAAAUGAUAAUGAAAUUAGUGAAUUUGAAGCUUUAUCUGAUAAAGAUUCAGAUAAAAGUGAUAAGAAUACUGUAAUAGAUGAACUAGAGGGUGAUUUAGCAUUUUGAUCUUCUCAGCAUAAUAUCACACAAGAAUUCACUGAUUUAAUUUGCUGAUCUAUGACCAGAGCUGCUUAAAUGUUAAUGCAUCCUAAAAUUUUAUUUAAAUUUGUGUUUUUUAUGUAUUUAAAUAAAAUUCAUUAUAUAUAUAUGUAUUUUUUAUGCUAUAUUUUAUAUGAUCUCAUCAUCGUUGUCAUCAUCCCCCACCUUAAUUUUUCUUUAUUCUAUAUAUUUAUUCAACCUUAAUUAUAUUUCUUUAUAAUUUCUUUAUUUUAAAUUUGGCGUUGAGUAAAACAAGUACUUCACUAAGUUUUAAUUAUUAUUUGUUGACUAAAGUAACACUUAUUAACUCCGUUAAUGUUUAGCCUUAAAAUUAUUUUUACUGAACAUCGUAAUAUCUUAAGAGUAUAGAAGUAACCUGAUGAAAAUUAUGAUAGUGACUCACAAGAUUUUAAUGAACAUCAGGAAUUUAAAAAGUCUUGUCUGCAGACACCUGUCUCUGUGUUGAAUAAAAGUAGAACAAGAUUGGAAAAAGUGAUUAUAAUUACCUCUGUGAUUAAGGUGAAGGGAGUAGUAGCAAAAUUGAAUUGGACAGGGCAAGGUGAUCUUCAAAAAAAUUCUUUCCGAAUUCCUAAAUUUCGUCAAGUUAUUAAAAAAGAAAUUUGCUGACAAAAGAUACCACAUACAGCAAAAUUAAAAGGCAGUUGUGGCUUUUUUUUCCGGAGCUCUAGACAGAAAUAGAGGCAGAAAAAAAAGAGCAUAAAAAAGUCCAUCCAGAAAACAGUUCAACAGAAAGUCGUGGCUAUACUGCCCAAUCAUUGACAUUGAAGCCUUUAUCUUGAUUAUCAUUACCACGAUUUGAGCCCUAUAUUUUUGAUGAAUCUGACAAAGAAUAAUGUUCUCAAAGUCUUGCAUGAUCUCUUUUAUAUGUUAUGUUUUAUAUUAAUUGUAUAUUUGACAUUAUUAUAAGCUUUACAAGUAUUCAUAUUAUUAAUGAUAAAUUUAAUGCAUUUAUUUUUUAUAUAUUUUUAAUGCAAAUUUAUUAACGUGUAAAUUAUUAACA
rnacentral:lncRNA from 1 species